GUAAUUUGCGACAUAAGUGGGAAGGGCAUGUGAUGCAGCGAAACCAUAGAGCGAAACAGACAGCUAAAUGGGAAAAUGUAAGUUUGCGUACUCCUGGUUGGAGAAAGAUGAGUUCAAACAGUAGCUGAGGUGUCGCCGAAGACAACGGUGUUAUUUAUUCUUUCAAGCUUUGUUUUUUUCUGAGCUAAUCUGAGUUCUGUUGUGUGGUUGUGUUCCA
rnacentral:misc_RNA from 1 species